rnacentral:rRNA from 1 species
GAAGCUGGAGUUGCUAGUAAUCGCGAAUCAGCAUGUCGCGGUGAAUACGUUCCCGGGCCUUGUACACACCGCCCGUCACACCAUGAGAGUUGGCAAUACCCAACGUACGUGAUCUAACCCGCAAGGGAGGAAGCGUCCUAAGGUAGGGUCAGCGAUUGGGGUGAAGUCGUAACAAGGUAAC